rnacentral:rRNA from 1 species
ACGUAGGGGGCGAGCGUUGUCCGGAUUUAUUGGGCGUAAAGAGCUCGUAGGCGGUUCCGUCAGUCGGGUGUGAAAACUCUGGGCUCAACCCAGAGACGCCACCCGAUACUGCGGUGACUAGAGUCCGGUAGGGGAGUGCGGAAUUCCUGGUGUAGCGGUGAAAUGCGCAGAUAUCAGGAGGAACACCAACGGCGAAGGCAGCACUCUGGGCCGGUACUGACGCUGAGGAGCGAAAGCGUGGGGAGCGAACAGGAUUAGAUACCCUGGUAGUCCACGCCGUAAACGUUGGGCACUAGGUGUGGGACCUUUCCAACGGGUUCCGUGCCGCAGCUAACGCAUUAAGUGCCCCGCCUGGGGAGUACGGCCGCAAGGCUA